GCCCAGGGAGCCCGCCCGGCGGCCCCGCUGCCGCCCGCGCCUCUCCGCUCGGGCCCGAAGCACGGUGUCCGCCGCCCGGAGCCGGUAACCCACGCACACGGACCUUGCAAGCGCCGGGUCGCGAGCCUCCGCACCCAAGCCAAGCCGCGAGCGGAGUCGCCCUCCUUCCCCAGCUCCCCGGCUGUCAAGAGCCCUUCCGCGCGGCCACCGGUGCCCGGAGAAGGACUGGGGGAGUUGGGAGGGCCCCCAGGGCUGGGGCUCUGGGAGGAUCUUACCUGCAGAAAGGUAAGGGAAGCCGGGAGCAGGAAGCAGCGGCGGAUAAAUAUUCAUUAGGAAGUCUCUGUUUGCCUGCCCGGUCCGGGUGAACCUUCCAGACAGUAGCCACCGCAGGUUCCCGAGAAGAGGCAGGCACACUGGAUGCUGGGAUGCUCCCCUCUUCCCCAACUGUCUCUCUGAAAGUAGAGGGUAAGUUUGGGAAGAUUCGUUUAGACAAAACAAGAGAGGAAAAAAAGAGGACGUUCUGGGCCAGCAAGUCGGAUGGCCACCCUCCAGGGGGCAGAGGAAGGUCUGGCUCCUGAAGAAGAGACGAACCGUCUGGAAAGCACGGCAGGAGGACACCUUUAAACAAAUGUAGUUACCCUAGAAAUGGAGGGGGGUUAGGAGUAUGAGUCGGGAAGGAUUUCUUCCCUUUGGGGGACAAACACUGUGUCCUUUAAUUGUUUCCCAAAGAUACACUUAAUUCCUGGAAAUUGUAGUGUUUGUUCUUGUAGAUGUUCUAAACAAUAAAGAGUGAAAAUCA